rnacentral:rRNA from 1 species
CCUACGGGAGGCAGCAGUGAGGAAUAUUGGUCAAUGGACGAGAGUCUGAACCAGCCAAGUAGCGUGCAGGAUGACGGCCCUAUGGGUUGUAAACUGCUUUUAUGCGGGGAUAAAGUGAGGGACGUGUCCCUUAUUGUAGGUACCGCAUGAAUAAGGACCGGCUAAUUCCGUGCCAGCAGCCGCGGUAAU